rnacentral:tRNA from 1 species
AGGGGGGUCGUAUAAUGGUUAGUAUAGGGGACAAGCUUUAUCAAAAAGCUCCCCAGUGUGGAUCCCUUGACGCGAGUUCGACUCUCGCCCUCCCUCCCA